rnacentral:rRNA from 1 species
AGAGUUUGAUCCUGGCUCAGGACGAACGCUGGCGGCGUGCUUAACACAUGCAAGUCGAACGGAAAGGCCCUGCUUUUGUGGGGUGCUCGAGUGGCGAACGGGUGAGUAACACGUGAGUAACCUGCCCUUGACUUUGGGAUAACUUCAGGAAACUGGGGCUAAUACCGGAUAGGAGCUCCUGCUGCAUGGUGGGGGUUGGAAAGUUUCGGCGGUUGGGGAUGGACUCGCGGCUUAUCAGCUUGUUGGUGGGGUAGUGGCUUACCAAGGCUUUGACGGGUAGCCGGCCUGAGAGGGUGACCGGCCACAUUGGGACUGAGAUACGGCCCAGACUCCUACGGGAGGCAGCAGUGGGGAAUAUUGCACAAUGGGCGGAAGCCUGAUGCAGCAACGCCGCGUGCGGGAUGACGGCCUUCGGGUUGUAAACCGCUUUCGCCUGUGACGAAGCGUGAGUGACGGUAAUGGGUAAAGAAGCACCGGCUAGCUACGUG